GAGGGUUUCCUCCUGAACAGUUUGAGGUUUUUCCAGCAACACGCCGGUCGAUCAACGAGAAGUACGGCGUGUUCUUCAGGUAGAAACCCAAACCGCUCGACAGGCGACAGGAGGGUCAAAUUGGGAUUUAGGGGGGAAUCGAAGAUACAGUAGAUCGAAGUGAACGCCGCCGUCGCCGAUGAGCGCGACGGAGAAGAAGAGCCCGGAGGCCCCGGAGGGGAAGGAGAAAUCGCCGGCGGAGGCGUUCCUUGAAAUCGUCGAGCGCACCCCGCUGGGGGAGGUGGAGACGGCGCUGAUCUCCUGCAACGUCGUCCCGACGGCGGAUGUCGCGGAGCAAGUGCUCAAGUCCGACAUCUGCUACUCCCGCCCUAAAUCCGCCGUCCGCUUCUUCCGCUGGGCGAGUAAGUCCUUAAAGCUCACUGCCUAUGCCUGGAAUCUCCUCAUCGAUAUCCUCGGCAAGGCCUCCAUGUUCGAGCCCAUGUGGGACGCCAUCCGCUCGAUGAGCCAGGAGGAGGGUGGUCUCCUCUCCGUCGCCACCUUCGCUUCCAUGUUCGCCUCCUACUGCUCGCGCGGAAACUUCAAGGACGCCGCCAGGGCCUUCGACGUCAUGGAGCUCUACGGCGUGCCUCCGGACGCCGUUGCCCUUAACUCCCUCCUCUCCGCCAUGUGCCGCCGGGAUGACGGCGCGCAGGCUGCCUUGGACCUGUUCGAACGCUCCAAGGGCAAGGUCGCGCCAGAUGCGGACACCUUCGCGAUACUGCUCGAGGCGUGGGAGAAGGAAGGGAAUGUCCAGCGCGCGAAGAGCACAUUCGGCGAGAUGAUCGUCCGUGUCGGGUGGGACUCCAGAAACAUCCCCGCGCAUGACGCCUUCCUCACCACGCUCGUGCGAGGGGACCAGUUCAAUGAGGCACUCAAAUUCCUGAAUGUGAUGCGGACCAACGGCUGCCUCCCGGGGCUCAAGUUCUUCGCCAACGCAAUCGACCUCGUCGUCCGCAAGGCAGACUAUGUCAACGCUAUUCCUAUCUGGCAAAUGAUGGUCUCAGAUGCGGGGAUUGUUCCCAAUCUCCCCAUGUACAACGCCAUAAUUGCCCUCUGCUCCAGUGUUGGUAACACUGACUACGCCUUCAACAUGCUUGAUGAAAUGCCCUUAAAUGGCGUGUUCGCAGAUUCCGUUACAUAUAAUGCCAUACUUGAGGGACUCAUCAAGCAGUGCAAGGCUCGUGAAACUGAGGGUUUCCUCAUGGAGAUGAGUAAAAAUGAGCAGCUGCCUUCCGCACCCAACUGCGCUGCUGCUAUCAGCUUAUUCUCUAAGGAAUUUAACCCAUCUGCGGCAAUUGAUGUUUGGCACUGCAUUGUGGAGCACCAAAUUACCCCAGCUGAGGAGUCAGCCAAAGAGCUAAUAACGGGGCUGCUUGACUUUAGCAGGUUUGCUCAGGUGAAGAUAUAUACCGAUGAGAUGCUUGACAUGGGAAUUGAGUUACCGCAGUCAAUCAUUGAAAAAAUGAAGCACACAUUUGAUAAGGCUGGCAAGCGCCAGACAUAUGACCAGAUUGCAAGAAGGCUGAAGCGGCGGUAGCAACACAUGGAUUGUAUAAUCAUCAGGCGUCAAGGUUUUCUAUUGGACCACUGGAGGUGUUACACUGGAUUACUAGUUUGGUGGUUGAAGUUCUCCUUCGCAAGGAAGAUAUUUGAAAAAGGUUGCGGAGAUCGACAGUGACAGUGCAAUCGAGUUGGAACUCAAAACAACAGAUGUUCGUUCCGCCAAGCUUGCUUAGGAUGGUGGAUCAUGGUCAACGGUUUAGGGCUCGCCAGAUCUAACAACAGCGUUACCGGUGAUGAUGAGCUUGAGGCGGGGAGAAGUGAGUGAGACAGAGAAGCUACCAAUGGGCUUUAUGCUGCUAGAGCAAGUCGUGGUUGCUGUCUUCAAAGUGAUGCGUCACACGUGGAAGGAGCGGAUACAAGUUUGGAGUUGUUUUGGACCAAAGAGGGUUUUUUGUUAGAUAUUUCCUUGGAGUUUCUUGCGAAAAAAGUUCUCCAAAUAGUUGUAAUGCUAAACUUGACUCUUCAUUUAGCUGUAUCACUAAUGGUGGUAGCAUAUCCUCGUCUGUGAUGUCCAAGGAGUAGCCUGUUGCCUUUUCUUUCUUGUUGGUCACUUGGUCUUUAAAUCUCUGCAGUAGUUGUUUGUUUUUUAAUGGAAAGAAAUAGAGAGGUUUCCCUUCCUACUCAAA